UACGUAGGGUGCAAGCGUUAAUCGGAAUUACUGGGCGUAAAGCGUGCGCAGGCGGUGAUGUAAGACAGAUGUGAAAUCCCAGGGCUCAACCUUGGAACUGCAUUUGUGACUGCAUCGCUGGAGUGCGGCAGAGGGGGAUGGAAUUCCGCGUGUAGCAGUGAAAUGCGUAGAUAUGCGGAGGAACACCGAUGGCGAAGGCAAUCCCCUGGGCCUGCACUGACGCUCAGUGCACGAAAGCGUGGGGAGCAAACAGG
rnacentral:rRNA from 1 species